UACGUAGGGGACAAGCGUUAUCCGGAUUUAUUGGGCGUAAAGCGCACGCAGGCGGCUGAUUAAGUCGGACGUGAAAUCUCCCGGCUUAACCGGGAGAGGUCGUUGGAAACUAAUCGGCUCGAGGCGAUGAGAGGGGUGUGGAAUUCCCGGUGUAGUGGUGGAAUGCGUAGAUAUCGGGGGGAACAUCAGUGGCGAAAGCGGCCCCCUGGCAUUUUCCUGACGCUCAUGUGCGAAAGCGUGGGGAGCAAACAGG
rnacentral:rRNA from 1 species